UCUUUCUGACUCGACUCUACUUCUCGACUGAGAACACACACUUAUAUAGUCGUCUGCUGUAAAGCAGCACAUCUCAUAUGAUUUGGCUGUUUACAAAGUAAAUAUCUUGUAUGUUUUGGUCGCUUGCUGUUCUAAAUUAGAACUUCUAAUGUGUCUGCCUCGCUAACUCCACUCGUCAGCAAUGAGAGAGCAAAGUUAGCAAUGUAACGUUAGACACUUUGCUAUACGUUCUAUAUAAGUUUGCUAUUAGCGAUGUAAAUCCACCAUGUUUUACUGUGUUAGUCUGACGUUAUUCAAAUGUUUUUAACGUUAUUGAAUGUAUGACAUUUCAGACUAAAACGCCGUCGACGUCUGCUGCAGCAUUGUUGUCCUCAUCAUCAGAAGAGGAUGAAUCCCAGUUAGCGCCCGCACCAAUGUUAUCAACACCAGUCAAGAUUCCUCCCUCUGUCCAAGCACAGUUUGUCUGUUGUAAACCACACGUGGUUUUCCUGUGGCACCAGUAAGGGGGACAUCGAGGCACUACAAAACCGGUGGACAAUGAACACCGAUGGACUGACACGGAUGGAAAGCAGCAUCACUGUGACCAUGCUCCUCGAACAGCUGAAGAGCAGAAGAGGAGGAUGUGGCUGAAGAAGGACUCUGUGGCAUAUCAGGACCUGACGUCGCUAGUCUUUGAUAAGGCUUUUGAAAGAUCUUCAGAAGAUGGCCCUCUUCAGACAUACUGGGCCACUGAAGAUCUUUCACAAAGCUCUCCUGAAGUACCUCCCUAAACGCCAGGCCUUCACCUAUGAGGGAGAGGGCCUACCUCACCAUCAUGGAACAUAAUGAGAACAUUUUUGCACGAGAACAAGCCACCACGGCAACAAGAGAACCACGCGUCAAGCAGGUCUUCUGCAAAAAGUCAUAGCAAUGGAUAGUCAAGAAAAUGUAUAAGCCACACACCACCAAGUUCAUCCAGACACUAAUUGAGAAGGUUAUAGAAAACAGACGCAACCCAAACAUAACAUUCAAGGACUCAACCUCCUCACUCACCCAACCACAACCUCCUUUGCCACCUAACAUUGCCCCUGUCCCAACCACAACCUCCUUUGCCCCCUAACAUUGCCCCUGUCCCAACCACAACCUCCUUUGCCACCUAACAUUGCCCCUAGCUGUCCCAAAGCUGCCACAGGAAGCUGCAACAUGAUCAUUCAAGAGCCGCUUCUGAGACGUCAGCUCUACAUUAACCCAUUCCACACCAAUAUUUUGUAAUAUUACCAUGUCUUAUAUGUCUUUGUCUUAUGAUCUUUUGACCUUAUUCUUGCACUGCCUUACCUGUUUGCACUGCCAUCGAGCGCCUUACUAUAGGCUACAUACUCAAUCACAGGGUCAAUACCUCUUUUUUAUAGUGUGGAUAAUGUUGUUUGUUAGCCUGACGAGCCAGACCCACAUUAAAAUGUAGGGUCUGGGCACUCACCGUUCGCAGUGCUCAGUCCGA